CACAUUGUUCUGAAAAUAAUGCUCACAGUUUGACUGAAACAAUUAACACAUAACUUUGCCAUCACAAAAUAACUCAACAACACGUAUUGAGUUCGUCAAAUAGACUGAGAAAAUCUGGUUGUCAUACUAAGAAGGUAAGUUCAAUAUGAUGUGAAAGGAUAUAGGUGUAUGAUAAGGUACUUCACUGACCAGCUUUCAGCGAAAAAUACCGACAUACCCACACGGAAUGAACUACUCAAUUGCGUGUGUUUCAUAAUGCCAUUACCGCUUACGAUCUACUUAUUCUCAUCGCGAAACAACAUUUGAAAAGCAGCGCUCUAAUAUAUAAAAUGUUUCUAAGAGACCAGAUACUAUAUCAUAUUAAAGAUUUGAUAAUGACAUGAGUGUUGUCGAAAAUUUACUUCGUGACACAAAAUCUCCCACUGUGUAUUAAGCGAUCUAAUCAAUAAUGAAGGCCUUUGAAUUUCAGUUCUGAACUAAAAUUUUGGCUAUUUGUAUUUUGACGUAUAAAUAUCAGUAAACUUUAUCCGAAAUCACGUCAUUAAUUAUUUGUCAGUUAAGAACCAAUUUUACAUCAAACAUGACAUCGACUGAAAUAACAAUCCCAACCAAUGAAAAUUCUUUAAAUAUUUUUAUGAAGAAAUUGUCGAUUGAGCAUGACAAUGAUCUUUUUUUUAUCGUUUUAACAAUUUAGUUAGAAUUUACGAUGCCCAUCAUAAACGCUAGUCAUUGACGUAAUUUAAAUAUUAAUAUGAUUGCUGCUUAUAAAGUUUAUGGGUGAACUGUAGUUCGUCUGUUGGACAGAACGCUCAUAUAUAAUGGUCAAGCACUAUAGCGGGAAUUUUUGACUCUUACACAACCACUUUUAUCAACAGGAAUGAUCGAGGCCGCCUGAUAUCUUGGCGUUGCCUGCAUGCAUUCUGGGAACGGUAAAGGCGAUUCAGACAGUGAUAUUGAGUGACAGGCUGUAGCAACCUCAACUUGGUUACCAAAACAAAUCAUAAACAUCUGCAGACUACAGUCAGUGGUCUUGCAGUAUAUCUAUUUAAUCGCAUUCUGAUGUCGCAGCGUUUGAUUAACUUUUAGUUAUAUGCCAGUUGGAUCAUGUAAAAUACGAAUAUACGCAAUAAAUUUGUGUGGUUAGCGUGUCUAUGUUGUUCAUACAGGAAAUCAAAUGUUUAUAAGACUUAGUCUAUACUGAUAUAAUUUCGAGGCGGAACUGACGCAAUAUAAUGACGCGAUUUUUUGCCAAAACAGAGUGGGUGCAUGGUAACCAAUGGUGGUAAAAGGGGACAACAAAAUGAUUUAAAUGAGAUUAUGAGGGAUCUGGGAGGAUAAAAUAUAUGAGAGGAAAACUGGGGGAGUGAGGGUUCGCUCAUUUCUUUUUACCCUAAAAUUUGUUUUGACUCAGUGACCGUCUUUGUUGAUUGUUGAUUGAACAGAAUUCCUUGACUAAACAAUAUACCAUGCAUCAACUAAGACGUUGUUUCUCUUUCUACGCAAUUCCCAUGUUGCAUGCCCGAAGAUAUUUUGGACGAAACAAUAAUGAAUAAUAAUUUAUUAUUUAUAUUGCGCAAAUAUCAAUAUGUUUCUGAUCAAAUACAAUUUAUUUGGUGUCUAAAUAUCCGUCAGAGUCAGCGAUUCUAAAUUCGUGCGUAUAUACUUUGUGGAAUAUGCAAGAUAGCCACUUUUUCUUCUGAUCGCGCAUAUCUGAACUGAAAUCAAUAUUUAUCAGAUUACAAAGUUUCGGCGUAAUUUUGCCAUAUACAAAUUAUCGUCAGUACAAAUUAUUUAAUUUCCAACAAACUUUGACGUUUAUAUAAGCAUGUUGAGUAAACGUAUUUCACGCAUCAUAUCCGUGCGUAGUUUUUCGAAACGUAAGAACGUAAGAGGAAUGACCCUAACUGAUAUGCAGUUUUGUUCAGGAUUUUGGCGAUUUUGAGCCAUUUAUGCCGGAGUAACAAAUUGUGAGUCUGGGAACGAACGCCGAUUAUUUUAAUUAUCUUAAUGUUAUGAAAUGACGUGUCAUAGUUCUAUUUAACUUUUGUUAAAUGCACUUUCUAUAUGAGCGCAAUUUAAGGGCAUACAACUAUAAUAUUAAUGCUGAUUUCUUUCAUUUUAGCUCAAAAUGGCGAAUAUUCAAAUGUUACUGGCGUUUGUGUUGAUGUACUGUGGUCUUUGUCACGCAGGUAGGUUGUCUCAGAGUGGGAUUAGGGGGGAGUUAUCAGGCUUUUGUUUUCUUGAUGUUUAAUGCCUAAUAUAAUUUUACUGGCUUUUUUAUGAAUAUGAGGACUGAAGUGUCUGAAUGAAUUGAUUUCUAAUCACAAGAACAAAGACAAAGUAUUCUUUGUGAAUGCAACAACGUUAUAUAUAAUUAAACUUUCGUUGUCUGUAUAUAUAUAGCCAUAAUAAGCCAUUCCUUUUAUAUCUCUUCAUGACGUAAUUGUUUGCAGUAAUCUCGAACAGUCUGUGCCAGUCGUGAGUUGUGCCAGAGCACGCACUUCCCGACGAAGGACCUUCCGGCUCGAAACGUCGAAUUUCUCCUCGUAUUUUUCAGGUAGUUGCAUCCCUAUCAUAACCGAAGUUUUCUAAUUAAUGGGAAAGACAAUAUACUGUGAAUUUUCUCUUUUAUUUUAGCUUUUUGUUCAGAAGAUGAAUUAGCUGGAAAAUGUUUUGGUUAGUGUGUAGCUACUGUUUUGGCUUUUCUCAGGAAUAUAUUUUUUAUAUUUUAUUUGCUAUAAACAAAACAUAUAUAAUAUAUAGCCUAUAGGCAUGUGAAUUCAGUAUGAUUGUAGGGC